rnacentral:rRNA from 1 species
AUUGAACGCUGGCGGCAUGCCCAACACAUGCAAGUCGAACGAGACCUUCGGGUCUAGUGGCGCACGGGUGCGUAACGCGUGGGAAUCUGCCCUUGGGUUCGGAAUAACAGUUAGAAAUGACUGCUAAUACCGGAUGAUGACUUCGGUCCAAAGAUUUAUCGCCCAAGGAUGAGCCCGCGUAGGAUUAGCUAGUUGGUAGGGUAAAGGCCUACCAAGGCGACGAUCCUUAGCUGGUCUGAGAGGAUGAUCAGCCACACUGGGACUGAGACACGGCCCAGACUCCUACGGGAGGCAGCAGUGGGGAAUAUUGGACAAUGGGCGAAAGCCUGAUCCAGCAAUGCCGCGUGAGUGAUGAAGGCCCUAGGGUUGUAAAGCUCUUUUACCCGGGAUGAUAAUGACAGUACCGGGAGAGUAAGCCCUGGCUAACUCCGUGCCAGCAGCCGCAGUAAGAC